AGAUAGCUGUGGAAAAUUAAUAUGGAGAGUGGAAAUUCCAGCUGCAAUUUCUCAUUCCAUUCUUGUACCAUGGCUUAAACUGAUAGAAUACCAGAGAUGAAAGCUAAUUUUGGAUCAUCAUUUGUGUGGCUGUACAGAUGGCAUAUGUUGAGGUCUUGGUGGGCUGGUGAUUUUCAGAUCCAAUCUGGGGAAUUCCCAAGUGAAACUCAUGGAAGCUUUCUGGCCUCACCGGAUGAGAGCCAUGGGAGCUCCAGGGUAGACUGAGCUCUCUCUGAAAGACGAAAGGAAACCCACAAUUGGAACAAAUUUAAGAACUUGGACCCUGCGUUAUCUGCACUCAAAGUUUGCACCCUCUCCGUGCCACUAACAGAAGAAAAAAUUAUAAAAUCUUGUAUUAGUCACUGUUACCAGCAGAUAAGUUGAGUUUACUAUGGGCCAGACCAGUGGAGUAAAGUACUGUUUUCUUUAGCCAACUUUUCUGAUCAUAGCUACAUCUAAAAUAAGUCAUAUUGUGAGUCAUUUUUUAAGAGCUGAAUGGCAGAAGAAGUUUAGGGGUUUGGUAUGUGAGUCAAAUAGGGUUUUCUUUGGAAGCUUUAAUGGACAAUGUCAGUUUUCACAGCUAAUGAUCUGGCUCUCCUACGCUGAAUGGAAAAGAGAGGUUAAGAGUAUGAAUAUACAAAGUGCAUGAAGAAAGUAAGAUGUGACCACACAUUGAAUAUGGAUGUACAUAGAUGUAUAUACACUUACUUCUCUGAAGCAGAUGGAAAAGCCAGUGAAACAAAGAGAACAGAGAGGCAUAGGGGAAUCUUAUCCAUGCCAAGUAUCACUCUUAAGAAGCAUAGAAGAGCACAAGGCAUCCAGCAAUGACUGCAACCUUGAGAAAACACUUGGGAGAAGCACUGCAUCCCUCAGUCACUGGCUCUUGCCAGCUGCUGGGUGCCUCUGUGAGCCCCUUUCUAAAAUAUUAAUCCUUAGGCCCAGCCAGCACCCCAGGCUCAGCACUGGGGCUGGAUGGAGGUGUGCCAGCCAGGGCCGCAGAUGGGAGAUGGCAGUGGCUUCUGGAGCCGGGUGUGUAUGGCUGUGGGGGAGCUGGCUGUGCCCAUCCUGGCCACCCGCCGCUCACUGCCCACUGUCCCUCCUGCCGGGGAUUUGGAGGCAGUGCUGCUUCUGCAUGGCCUGGCUGCCAGCUCCACAGCACCAAGCAUGCCACCAGCAUCAGCCAGCUGCCACUGUUCAUCCUCCUCUGUGCUAGCCCACAGCACCAGGGCUCCAGCUCCAGCUCUCGGUGCUCUGUUUUUCUCACUGAUCAUAGAAUCACAGAAUAUCCAGAGCUGGAACCCAUAAGCAUCAUCAAGUCCAACUCCUGGCUUCACAAAGGACCACCCAAAAAUCAGACCACAUGUCUGAAAGCACUGUCCAGAUGCUUCUUGAACUCUGGCAAGCUCAGUACCGUGAUCACUGCCCUUGCAGGACAUCUUUCCCUGUUUCCCUCCUUCCAUUCCCCUGGCCCAGACCAACAGCUCUUCGGCACAAGGCUCCCCUGCAGUGGGAUACAGAGGGGGCAAAGCUAAACUUUCAAGGCACCCAUGCAAACACAGUGAGCUGUUUCUCUGAAAAAAUAACAUAUACAUUUUGUGCUUGAUCUCCCAUUGUGUAAUAAUUUGAAGAGUCAACAUUCAGAAGGAAGCUGAUGAAGUUCCCCAACUCUUGUGCAUGGAGCUGGGCAGGAACCUGCCUGCUGCAUCUUGCUGGUGUGCUCCCAGGAAGAUGCAGGUGUGGGGAAAGUGAUGGUGCUGCAGUCUGGAGGCAGGCACUGCAUGUGGCACUACUCUCAGCACUCCUGUGAUGGGCAAUUGCCAAAUUGUACACACAUACGGGGAAACCUGUGUGUGCCGAAACACCCAACGUUGUGUCACGGUUGUUUGUACUGAAAAAUAAUAGGUUUAUUGCUGUAGUAAUGGAAAGAUACAAUUUGUAAAACAUAAAGUUAUCUGCUAUAAACAAAGGCUCUGAUUGAAUGAAAAAUAAACCAAACAAUCAUCAGGUAAUUGCCUCAGAUGCCUUCAUCACUGCCAGCUCUACAGCAGUCACCAACAUCUUACAAGGGUUAGAUAGUAAUGUUAAUGCAUUACUGUUAAUGAAUUAUUUUUCUCUAAAUAUGAUUUAUUGCUUUUGUCUUUGUGUUCAGCUAUCUAAGAGGGUACAUAUGGAAAGUAUUUUAGCACGUAGUAUUGGAAUUAAUUCACAGCAUUCAAUGGUAUCAUAUCAUGUUUCUCAUUAUGCCCCUCCUUCAUUAAAAGCAGUUUUAAGAUAUUGAGUAUCCAUUUAUUGCUCCUUUUGACACACGUAUAACACAGCUACUGAGAGUUGAAAAUCAUCCUUGCCAAGUUCACAAUGAGAUGCAAUGUCUGGAAGACGUUUUCAGAAAUAAUGCUCUGUGCAGUGCAAAUCCCAAUGGGUUUGUUUAGAAAACCUCUGUCAGCUCACUAAAGGGAACUUCUAAAAAGUGUUAAUUUGUGCUUCUGCUGCUUUGAAACAAAUUCUGGCUUCUUCUAAAUAUUUGUGUUCAUAAGAACUGACUUAUGUCCCUCCUAAGAUGGUUACCCUCUCAUUAGUAUAAGUGUUUUCAUGAGGUUAAAUAUCUUAAAAAAAAAAAAAGUUACAAAAUCAUGCUAUCUGAGACUAAAGAUGCGAGCAAACAACCAAAACCCAGCAAUAACCCAUAACCAAAGUAACUCAUUUUCCCAAAGCUGUAUGAACAUUUGUACUCUGAAAGGCAACUGCAGGGCGGCCGUGCAGACCCUUCUGGUAAGCUCAGCAUCAGAAUCUCCAGCAGAACCUCUGCUCCUGAAACACAGAUAGAACAUACAGAGCAGAACAAAGCAGCGUCUCAUCCUUUCUGAAAGUCUUGAGCUAUUCAUCACACUUCUUGGUACUGCCACCACCAGCUUCUUUUCAUCAACUGCUUUACAGUCAUUCUGGUAAUUGCCUGUUACCCAUUUCCACACCACCGCAUUAUUCAUUGUUUCCAGCAACUCCACAGACCCUGUUUUUAUACCUAUGGAUUAUACACAGCACAUAACCUAAUUUCAACUUUGUUUUCAUGUGGUUUAAUCACAAUUUAAUUUCAAUUCAGGUAACACAUUAGGAUUUUCCUGGUUUAGACGCAGUUCAAUAGAAGUUGUUUCUCUUUUUCCAGUGUUACAUUAAAAAUACUAAAAUUAAAAACACUGGAAUUGAACAAAGAAAGUUAAAAACUCACUUUCAUAGAGAAAACAGGGAUGAAGAGAGAAAUCUCAUUUCUUUCUCCUGCGAUAAGCAUUCCCAAUAUUUUCCCCAACGCGAAACAAAGCCCUUUAGGUUGAAGUAACUUUAGAAUGAGCAACUCACGUUAUCCUGCCUUCAAUUCAAAAUGUUUAAUGAACUGCUUAAAACACGAAUUUCUCAGCAUGUAUGUAAAUUGAGAAAAAAAGAAGAUAUUCUCAGUUAUAAUCAGAGAUUUAUUAAUUUCUCUGUGGAAAAACCCCCUUUGCCAUCACAAUACAAAACGUGUGCUUACUCAUUCCAAUUCGCUAACAACAAAAGCAGUGUUGCUUUUAGGAAAGCAAUGCACAAAACAUUUUUUAAAUGUUGUUAUGAAAGAGAAAACCUUUUAUUCAAAGCAGAUUGUCUUGAUGAUUUGUAAUGUCUCUAAAAUGUAUAUUAUUUCCGACAUCUUCUUGACUUUGAGCUUUAAAGCCAAUGUAAUAGGUUGGAUAUUUUCUAAGAAUCCUGACAGUUCGUUUCAGUCAUUUCAGCCUCUAAGACAAAUUAUUUGUAAUAUCCAUUUUGUUUCAUGUUGGUAUUUAGUUGUGUUUGGAAAUUCCUUCCAAAAUCCCCCAAGCCUCACAUAAAGAAAACUGAGAAAAUGGUUUGAGGUCAGUCUGAGGGUUUUCUGUGGCUCCUUUGAACCCCAUCCUCAGAGACACAGAGGUGUAUUAGUGACCUUCAGGUGGAAAGGAAGGGAAAGAACAGUGACAGCAUUUUUUGAAAGAGCCUCUGAAAAAAAACCUUUGUAUCACAUCACAUCGCACCGAGUGUCCCACACUUCUGCAUUGGAAAUUCAUGUGGUUUGACCGAAGGAGCGCUGCCAUCUCACAGCAAUCUCUAUUGGCUUCCCCACACAGCAGUGCAGACACAAGGCUUCUAAAGGAGAGGACCACAUGUGCUGCCCCUAAUACAGGGAGGAUAUGGGGAGAAGGCUGAGUUUGUGUGAGCAGCAGUGGUAACAAAACAGCCAGCAGCACAGCUGGACCCAGGGGUGCCAAGGGCUGUCUCUCGUCCCAAACAGGGCUGUACAGUCACUUCUCCAAGGGACACAGAGUCCCCAUGCUCCCUUCUCACAGAAGAAGAAUUCAUUGAAGAAAACCAGAAAUAGUACUAAACAAGGAAACAGAUGAGGUGCUGCCAGUACCUAGAACCCUGGAAUGGGAUGGGAUUUUUUCCAUCUUCGAUACUUUCACAUAGAAAGGUUAUGGUGUUUGCCAUGAACUUCAGCAUCCUUCUGACAAACCACAGACUUCAGAAGUCGUUGCAGAAUUUCUGUGCUUUUAAAUAAAAUACACCAUGAGCACAAAUGAAACUUGCAAAGCACACAUGGUCAGUGGCAGACAUCUGCACAGCGCUCCCUGCCAGCUCACUGGGACCAGCUCCCCUCGCCCCAGGAGAAAGCAGAGGUGCCACCCUCACCACGUCCUGGGUGCUUCUGCUGAGCCUCAUGGAACCAGGAAGGAAACAGGGAGCUGUGCUGAGUUCUGGAGCUCGGAACACAAGCUUUGUUCAAGCUGUAGGGUUUUAUAUGUGGUUAGUAGCGCUGCAUAUCCAGAUAGAGUAACUACAUGCUUCUUUCUGAUCAGAAUUCUUUUUGUUUGUGUAGUAUUAGAUCUAUCUCUAUUUAAAUAUUUAGUUUCUGGAAAUCAUACAGUGUAUGAUGCCAUACACACAGCACACAUUCUGAGUUACAAACCCACUGAGUUAAAUUACAUUUCCCAUUUAAAGAUAUCUGGAUCUGCUCUCUCCCAGUUCAACCCUGACAAGGGCUGCCCCUGAAGCCACCCCUGGGCCCUGCCAUGGGCUGGAAGGCACAGAGAUGGCAGUGAGGCACUCCACGUGUGCGCUGCCCCAUGGAGAUGGAGCAGAUUGGCAAAGUUUUGCCAUUUUUUUCUGUGGUGCAUUUUAGUACGAUUUGCAGGUGCCAGUCCCAUAAGGAACACGCUCGGGUUGUGAGCGCUUUGCUGGGGGGGUACUACAGCAAAACAGUUUCUUGAUGGUUCCCAAAAGCAUCAUGCAUGGGUGCCUAGUGAAUAGAAAAGGUGGCGGGAGAAGGAAAAAAAGAAAAAGGAAAAAAAAGAAAAAA